rnacentral:lncRNA from 9 species
AGGCUUGGCCCAAAGUCACACAGUAAGUGCUAAGCCAGGACUUGGUUCAUUCGGCAACUAUGUCUGAGGGUCUGUAAACAUCAGGGCCGGCGAGGCGCUUUGAUAGGCAAGCCGCUCAAGGCCUCUGCUUUCCUGGAGGCUCCAAUCUGAUGGGGAGACAGACCACACAGAAGAAACCGACAAACGACGCACCUCCUGUGUGCUGUGUACCUCCUCACGGACGACUCUGGAAAGUGGCUGUUACUAUGCCCAUGCAGAGCGUUUCCAGCAUCCAACGGGACUGGUCUCCGCGGCCUCUCUCCAAAGCCUCUGGACGGCUCCCAGCUCCCUCCAGUUCAAUGUCCAGGCCCACCUCCACAGCUGUCUGGACAAAAGCCCCCUUUCAUCACAAUCCUUUUGUUCAAUAAGCCCAUUUUUCUUGGAGCAAGUUCAGCCAAGUACCCGCUGCUUAGCAGACCUGUUUUCUUCCCCAGCACUGUGAAAUCCCCUCACAGAAGCCGUUUCCUGUAUGCUAGGCCCUGAAUUUCCGAAGCAGCCAGGGGAACCUCCUCUAGUCCCAGCUCAUGGCCAGUAAAAGAGGAUCUGUCAUUUUCAAAUGUAUCCCUACUCCAUUUACUUUCAGAAAGGACUGGGGCGGCGGGGUGCGAGCUGAGUGAGGGACCUGGGGUGGUAAACGUGAUAAAUGGAGCAGGGGGCCCUCGCACCCGCCUCCGCGGGCAAAGGUGCUUCAGUCACAGUCAGGGGGCUGCCUCCUGCGCGGGGGCGGGCGGACGGGGCGGCAUCCACAAAGCCAGCAGGCCGCAGCACUCACCUUUGGCCAGUGUUCAGGGAGGCUGCGGGGAUGCCGCCCCGCUCGCCCCAAGGUUCGAGGCCCCGGCGUCCUCAGCACCACGGACAGGGAAACUGAGGCUGCAGAAGCCGUCACAGGGCUGGGCCGGCUGUGCGGCCUUGAACCAGUCGCCUCUUCUCUCUUUUUGACCUGGGAACAAUAAUUUCUCAGGCUCCAGCUAGGACAGGGCGUGGUCGCGCCUCCCAGGGAGCUGAACCGGCGCUGUUA